UCCUAAUUUUUACAUGGUUAUGGGUAGCGAAGGAUUAACGUGAAACAGGUAAGUGAUAAUACAGAAUUCAUUGAGGAGAAAAGGGUCCAAAGGGUUGAUUGUUAUGAAGAAAUGAAGAGAACAUUUAACGUUUCUCGUGAAUCCUUCGGCUAUCCAUAACCAUGUUAAAUUUUGGGA
rnacentral:pre_miRNA from 1 species